CGAAAAAAAGGAUUUUCUGUGAGAGGAACUGCCCCCAAUGCAGCGAACCUGACGCCAUGGACCUCUUGAACGAAGACCAAGCUGAUGUGGCCCAGCAUAUAGAUGAAGAACACCAUGGAAAAGACUGUUGUUGCAGUGGGAACUCCAGAACCAGACAGAGGUGCAAAAAAGCAAGUAAAGAAAAUCUUGGACACGAGCACUGAAUGCAGCACCAGUGACACUGAUGAAGAGUCCCUGAUUUCUUCCUCCUCUUCAGAGUCACCUGAUAGCGACAUUCCUCAGAAGAGGAAAAGAGGACAUAAAAAGAAGACCAAGAGUGCUAGCAGGUCAAAAUCUGCCAAACACAGCUCACGUGCAACAACCCCAGACGAUGUACUGAAGCGGUACAAUAAAGUUUUUCGUGCCUUCAACAAAGAAGGGAGCAUCAGUAAGGCAUGCACCAAAGUUGGGGUUGACCGAAAUACACUCGCAU